rnacentral:rRNA from 1 species
AAUCUUGCGCAAUGGGCGAAAGCCUGACGCAGCGACGCCGCGUGAGUGAUGAAGGACUUCGGGUUGUAAAGCUCUGUGGGGAGAGACGAAUAAGUGCAAGCUAAUACCUUGCAUGAUGACGGUAUCUCCUUAGCAAGCACCGGCUAACUCUGUUCCAGAAGCCGCGGUAAGAUAGAGGGUGCAAACGUUGUUCGGAAUUACUGGGCGUAAAGCGAGUGUAGGCGGUUUCCUAAGUCAGGUGUGAAAGCCCCGGGCUCAACCCGGUAAGUGCACUUUCACCUGGGAGGAUAGAGUACUGUGGGGGUUGGUGGAAUUCUCGGUGUAGAGGUGAAAUUCGUAGAUAUCGUGAGGAACACCGGUGGCGAAGGCGGCCAACUGGACAGAUACUGACGCUGAGAC